UACGUACUGAUCUGUCUAAUAAUAUUAUCGAAAACGGAUUCUAAAUUAGCUAAUGUACGUAUAUAUUUUCAAGUUUAAUAUAGUUAUUGAAUCAAUCUCUAACUACUGGGCUUUCGAUCAGUGUUGAGUUACGAUUUCAUCGAAGAAGGAUGUUUUUUACAAAUAUACCUGAACCAUCUCGAGGCUACAAAACUAUUGCCAUUAUAUAUUAGAAUUAAAUUCAGUUUACCCCAUGAGGUUUGGGAGUAACUACAUGUUAAUCCUUAUACUUUCAAUUUCAUCAGUUUACCCCUCAAACUUUUGAAUUUUUCUCAAGCGUGACCAAAUGUCCUAUAUUCUGUUCAAAUCGGACGUUAACUACUGAUAAUUUUAACCUUAACUGUGAGGCCAGUAUCUAGAAUUUGGGCAAAUCGGACCUUAUAUGUCCAAAUCAGACCUUAUAUGUCCAAAUCGGACCUUAACUGCUGAUAAUUAAAGGUCAAUUCAAACGGAAUAUGAGAAUUUGGGCACGGCAGACAGAAAUUGAAGAGUUCAAGGGGUAAACUGAGGAAAAUAAAAGUGUAGGGACUAGUCCCUAACAUGAAGUCACCCCCGAACCACAAGGGGGUAAACUGAAUUUAAUUCUAUAUAUUAUGUGUGUUGUGGUUCUUCAUAAAACCUGUACUCCAUUUUCUUAACCCAACAAUGUGAAAGAGCUAGACAAGCUAGGGUAAUGAUUUUUAUGAUUAUUGCGCAAUAAUAGAAGAUAAUGAUUUUUAUGAUUAUUGUGCAGCUUUGCUAAUAUUAUUCAUAUUUUUUUUUUAUCAAAUACACAAUCAAUGUGUUAUAAUACUGUGAGUCGAACUCACGACCUCUCAUUUAUAAGGACUUAUGUCACUAGACCAAACUGUACUGGACUAUUCAUAUGCUCUUGAACAAAUAAUAAUAAUAAUAUGCUAAAAUUCAACAUAAUGUGCAUAUAUAAAUUUUCUAUUAUAGGUCAAACCUUUGAGCUAUUUUUCUUC
rnacentral:lncRNA from 1 species